rnacentral:rRNA from 1 species
GACAGAGGUCCCGAGCGUUAGGCGGAAUCACUGGGCUUAAAGCGUGUGUAGGCGGAUCCGUAAGUACCUUGUGAAAUCCCACGGCUCACACGUGGAACUGCUCGGUAUACUGCGGGUCUUGGGCCAUCUAGGGGCGAGCGGAACAAACGGUGGAGCGGUGAAAUGCGUAGAUAUCGUUUGGAACGCCAAUGGUGAAAACAGCUCGCUGGGGAUGUGCCGACGCUGAGACACGAAAGCCAGGGGAGCAAACGGG